ACACACACACACACUCUCUCCCCCCCUCUGCUUAUGAUAUCCUAUAUAUAGAAAAAUGCCUACCACUUUGAUAUUGAACAAAGAUGGUAAUAUCCUCUUCACUUCGACAGCCGUUUUAACAAAAACGUCAUCGAGCACGUUUCUGUUACAUCCAUAGUAAUCCAUUGUUGUAUCGUGUUGGUUUUUGUUAUCACUUUUUGAUCUUAUUAGAACUCGCGAAGACACACUUACGUUUUUCUUUUUUUUUUUUUCCUUUUUUUUUCUUUUUCUUUCUUUUUUUUUUUUUUUUUUUAUAUGUUAAAACGUUUAUAUCUGUUUAUAUACGAAGACGAAAAGAAUGCGAAUGAAAAGAAACGUGAAAAGUUUCGUUAUAUUAAGCACGAAUGAUAAAUUUAACCUUGUUUCCAGAACGCACAAGUUGCAUUGAAAUAAUGUAAGAAGGCCUUGCGGAAUGCAUAAAGGUUAUUAAAAAAUUGCAGGUCGAAAGAAACGUGAUAUGGAACGAGCAGAUGUUUUCAAAUUGCUUGAACGCACUCUCCGUUCUCUCCCGGCACUACACUAGACAUUUUUCUAUAGUCCUCGCCCAUAUUUCGUCACACACGACGAUGACGCGACUCGAUGCGUCGCAAAAUACGAACGAUCUUUAUAGAUUUCUUCUCUUAAUAAAUUAUGUGCUGCUGUAUUGUUCGGUUCUUAUGUCGAUCCUAUGACGUUCCAGUUGCACGCGACUCGAAUUUUCAACGAGAGAAACACCGAAGUCACGAAUUUCUCUAUAUACUUUGAUAUGCGUGCUUCUUCUAUUUAGUCGCGUGGCAGGCCACCGGUUAACCAGGAGUGUCGUUAAAGAAAUUAUUACGAAUGUAAUGAAAAGACAAUUACACGACAAUAACUUUUUGACUCUAUUCCUUCGUUAAUAUAAGAAAAAAUGAAUGAGAAAAGCUUAGGGCCUGGAAACGAGUCGAUCGAUACCUGGCGCUUGAUUCGGCUAAGUUCGACAAACUUCGUUGCCAAGAAAGUAGGAGAGAGAAGAAAAGGGGGUAUUAGAGUUACUCCAACUGUAUAUGCUUGCUGUGUAUCGGGAAAAAUAUUUUCGCGCGAUAUUGAUCGAGAGCAACGCAAAGAAAAUCACAAACAUAACUAGAUAUUAUGCAAACUUUACCAGAUUCAGGUCCAGGUCCAGGUUGAAAAUAAACGUGUAAUAAAGCAGGUGAAACGUAAAAAUACUUAUCUUCAACAUUACCAAAAGUGUACGCCUUUCUGCAUGAUAUUAAAAAUAGAAUAAAAAAGAUAGUAAUACUUCGAAAUAAUUUAUAUUUGUAAGAAAAUUCUCCGAAUCUGUUAAUCUAAAUGAAAAUUAAGAUUUUUUAAAUAUAUAUCGAAUUUUAUCAGAGGUAAAAAUCAUUUGCAUUAAAUUCUAUUCAAGUCUGUAUUUAUAUCUUAAGAAUCAUAAAAAGAAAUUAGCUAGUAAGGAGUUGCUAGUUACCUUUACCUAUAUAACCUUCGCCCCUAUCAUCAUCUUCGACAAAUCUGUCAUUAAUGUAACUUUCUUUACAAUUAAUCAGCAUUUUUCUCUAGAAGCCAAAGAAAUUGCAGAUGCUAUUUAUAAUAUACU